GUACCAAUCAAUCAUUGCCUCCCCCAGUGUGUCUGCAAUGGAUCCACCUGCUGCGACAUUCCAAGAACUGACACCAAGAUGUUGUAUUAUUGUAUGGAAUUCGCCACGCAAAAAUCCCUCCUGUGCAAGACAGACUUCCCCCACAGUGUCAGCACCAAAUAGACAGAAAAGAUUCCAAAGGAAGAUGGUUAAUGUGUUUCUACAACUGAAGGACCAUGUGCAGCGGAUUGAGGCCUCACUAAGGACCAAGCAAGAUCCAGAAUGCUCCAUUGAGCAAUUAAAAAAUGAACAUGACGUGGCUAAUUUUGAGGAGAAAUUGAAAAAAAAGGCAACAAUGGAA